rnacentral:sRNA from 1 species
GGAGGCGGGAAGAUCUCUUGAGCCCAGAAGUUUGAAGCUGCUACCUACGAUCAUACCUGUGAAAAGCCACUGCGCUCCAGCCUUGGUGACAGAACAAGAUCUGCUUGAGCAUGUGGGAGCCUGCCAGUUCAGGUACAGACAUUCAGCUGUGUCUUGGCAUAACCUGUGAUAUUAAGUGCAUUUGAUUUUUCUUUCUCAGAAUAAUGCAUAUACUGCCAUGUCAGAUUCCUACUUACCCAGUUACUACAGUCCCUCCAUUGGCUUCUCCUAUUCUUUGGGUGAAGCUGCUUGGUCUACGGGGGGUGACACAGCCAUGCCCUACUUAACUUCUUAUGGACAGCUGAGCAACGGAGAGCCCCACUUCCUACCAGAUGCAAUGUUUGGGCAACCAGGAGCCCUAGGUAGCACUCCAUUUCUUGGUCAGCAUGGUUUUAAUUUCUUUCCCAGUGGGAUUGACUUCUCAGCAUGGGGAAAUAACAGUUCUCAGGGACAGUCUACUCAGAGCUCUGGAUAUAGUAGCAAUUAUGCUUAUGCACCUAGCUCCUUAGGUGGAGCCAUGAUUGAUGGACAGUCAGCUUUUGCCAAUGAGACCCUCAAUAAGGCUCCUGGCAUGAAUACUAUAGACCAAGGGAUGGCAGCACUGAAGUUGGGUAGCACAGAAGUUGCAAGCAAUGUUCCAA